rnacentral:rRNA from 1 species
UACGUAGGAGGCAAGCGUUGUCCGGAGUACUGGGCGUAAAGCGCACGCAGGCGGUCCCAUUCAGUCUGUAGGGACAGGGCACGGCUCAACCGUGUCAGGCUUACGGAAACUGUGGGACUUGAGGGCUUCAGAGGGAUGGGGAAUUCCGGGUGGAGUGGUGAAAUGCGUAGAGAUCCGGAAGAACACCAAAGGCGAAGGCACCAUCCUGGGGAGUCACUGACGCUCGGGUGCGAAAGCUAGGGGAGCGAACGGG